rnacentral:rRNA from 1 species
AUUGAACGCUGGCGGCAGGCUUAACACAUGCAAGUCGAGCGAGCGGCGGACGGGUGAGUAAUGUCUGGGAAACUGCCUGAUGGAGGGGGAUAACUAAUGGAAAAGGUAGCUAAUACCGCAUAACAUCAGAUGUGGCCAGAUGGGAUGAGCUAGUAGGUGGGGUAAUGGCUCACCUAGGCGACGAUCCAUAGCUGGUCUGAGAGGAUGACAAGCCACAUUGGACCGUAGACACGGUCCAGCCUCCUACGGGAGGCAGCAGUGGGGAGUUGUGCACAAUGGGCGCAAGCCUGAUGCAGCCAUGCCGCGUGUGUGAAGAAGGCCUUCGGGUUGUAAAGCACUUGCAGCGAGGAGGCGUUACUCGCAGAAGAAGCACCGGCUAACUCCGUGCCAGCAGCCGCGGUAAUAC